rnacentral:rRNA from 1 species
UACGAGGGGGGCGAGCGUUGUUCGGAAUUAUUGGGCGUAAAGGGUGCGUAGGCGGCCUGACAAGUCUGAUGUGAAAUCCCUGGGCUCAACCCAGGGCCUGCAUCGGAAACUGUCGGGCUUGAGUAUGGGAGAGGUGAGUGGAAUUCCGGUGUAGCGGUGAAAUGCGUAGAUAUCGGAAGGAACACCUGUGGCGAAAGCGGCUCACUGGACCAUUACUGACGCUGAGGCACGAAAGCUAGGGAGCAAACAGG